rfam:Anoxybacillus amylolyticus strain DSM 15939, complete genome.
GUCAACAACCGAACGACUCAAGUCGUGGGUUUGAAUGCCCCAUGUUGACCAGACCAAGACUUGAAACAUAGUUUACGUUAGCGAUGUCAUGAUACGUCGGGGUGCUUCUCCAGCCCCGUCGUCGUGUAAGAUUAAACAAAUGUGGUAGGUCACAUUCGUGUCUUGUACACGACAAGCAUCGAUAACACGGUCAAGGAGAACAUCAC